rnacentral:rRNA from 1 species
UACGGGGGGGGCAAGCGUUGUUCGGAAUUACUGGGCGUAAAGGGCUCGUAGGCGGCCAACUAAGUCAGACGUGAAAUCCCUCGGCUUAACCGGGGAACUGCAUCUGAUACUGGAUGGCUUGAGAUUGGGAGAGGGAUGCGGAAUUCCAGGUGUAGCGGUGAAAUGCGUAGAUAUCUGGAGGAACACCGGUGGCGAAGGCGGCAUCCUGGACCAACACUGACGCUGAGGAGCGAAAAGCCAGGGGAGCAAACGGG